rnacentral:lncRNA from 10 species
AAUCAGCACCUCCUUGCCUGUCUCUCCCCAGGACAGCCACAAGGACUUUCGGGGGUCGUGGCAGCUGCUCCACUUCCAACUUCCAGAUCCCUCUCACUUUCCUCUUCCCACCAACUCCAACCUGGGACCAAGCAGGGGAAAGCAGCUGCAGCCCAGCUUGACGCCCCUGCAAAUGGAGACCUGUGCACCUGGUUGUGAGCAUUUUAAAGGGUGUCACACAGGGCAUACCCUUCGGUGCCUGGAUUCCUUUGAUGAAAGGGCAAAGCCUUGAACCUAAGUCAUCUUCGAGUCCUCAGCACUUCACCCAGAGCCUGGCACACAGUAGGAGCACAGAAAGGUUUGUUGCAUGGAAUUAAGCACUCACGCUGGAGAGUGGAUGUUCUUUGCUCAGUGCACUCAAUCCCUCCCACAGCACAGCACACACCACAAGGAUCGUGCCCCACAGACACAUGGGGAAGACUGGGUGCAGAGUCUUAAUCUUGACUCCCGUUUGCUGAGGCUCUCAAUGUCUCAGGAAACCCUUAGAUAACCUCAUUUAAUCCUCACAACAACCCGGCAAGGUGGGCUAUGGACCCCCGGUUGAUGGAUGACGAACCCCCCCAUCCCCUGUCCCCCAGGUUUACAUCCAGCAGGAGUUGGCCCUGAGCUCUGAGUCCAGAUCAUUGCUCUUGGCUGAAGCAGCCUGUCUACUCACAAAGAUGAGCAUGGUCCCUGCCACGAGGAAACUCGUGGUCCUGUGGACUGCGGUGUGGAGGGAAAGCUUGGGAUUCUGAGCCUGAUAAUGCACCAUUACAUCCCCACUCACUCGGGCUGUGUGAACCCAGCAAGUCACAGGAUCACUGGGUGGUGAAAGAAAGAAACACUCACAGAAGCGUCUGUGCUUGGAGAGCCAUCUGGUCCGUCAUUGUGACUGCUGCUCUCAUUGCUAUCAUGGGUGUCACCAUUGCCAUCACUCAAGGACUUCUCUCCAGGCCCCGAAGCCAAGCUGGUGCCUGGUUCCUCUGGGUUGGGAGAGGGGCUGGGCAUGGACAGGAGGAGGGAAAAGGGACCUGUGCUAGCAGGUGAUGCCAUCCAAGACAUCUGCAUCCUAAUCCCUGGAACCUGGGAUUCCACUAGGUGCCAUGGCAAAGAGGGAUUAAGGUGGCAGGUGGAGUGAAGGUUGCUAAUCAGCCGACCUUAAAGUAGGGAGAUGAUCCUGAAUGAGACAAAAGAGAGAACCAGUCAUGGUGUCAUGAGAAGGACUCAAAAUGCAACUGCUGACUUUGAAGAUUAAGGGGCUACAAACCAAGGAACGUGGUAGUCUCUGGAAAAGACAAGGAAUAGACGCUGCGUUGGGGCCACCAGAAGGAACCAGCCCUGUCAACACCCUAAUUUUAGCCCAGUGAGGCCUGUGCUGGACUUCUGACCUCCAGAACUGUAAACUAAUAAAUGUGUGUUGUUUCUGCCACUAGAUUUGUGGGAAUUUGUUAGGGCAGGCAUAAGAAACUGAUACUGUGGUAUUCCCUGCUGUGUCCCCAGGACCUCGUGGCCAGUAGGCUCACAAAAAAUAUCUAUUUAAUGGACAAACAUCGUGAAGGAAAUGCUUUUCUGUGAGCCUACCGUGUGCCAGUUUUUUGACACUGUGUGAGUUGUCAGAUUCAGCAAAUAAAAAUACAGAAUGCCCAGGUAGAGUUGAAUUUUAGAUAAAC